rnacentral:tRNA from 1 species
AGUAAAUUUGAUACCUCAAGCUGUAAACUUGAGUAAGACUUAAUACAGUCAUUUACUA